rnacentral:tRNA from 2 species
GGGUGGUUGGCGCAAUGGUAGCGCGUGUCUCUCCUAAAGACAAGGUUGAGGGUUCGAGUCCCUUGCUACUCG